AACUACAGAGAGUGACAGAAUGAAGAAAGGCUUCCGAGUCGAUUGAUGGCGAUCGCGAUCGCUGUCUAACCCUGUUGGUUCUCUCUCCUCUCUUCCACCGGCGCAUCUCCUCCAAACGCCUCUCGUUCCUAAAUCCACAGAAGGUAAACCCUAAUAUCCACACGUCUCUGCCUUUUCUAGCCAUUAACUACAAACCCUAACCCUGUAAUCCUCUUCCUACCCCCUCUCCCAAACCCUAAUCCUAAUCACACCACAACCCUUCAAUCCUCUUCCUACCCCUCUCCCAAACCCUAACCCUAACCUCCAAACGCCAACCACAACCACCCACUGGAAAUUGGUCGUUAGUGUUUGGGUUCCCCUUCUUUUAUCUAUCUAUAUAGGUCACACAUGCUUCUAGCUUUUCACUACAAACCCUAACCAUCCUAUUCCUACCCCUUCUCCCAAAUCCUAACCCUAACCACAACUCUUAACCCCCACCACAACCCUUCAAUCCUCUUCCUACCCCUACCCCUACCCACCGGGCCAGUCUUUAGUGUUGGUGUUCCCCUUCUCUAUACAGACACAUAUAUCACAGGAAUCUGAAUAUGCAUAUUUGUGUGUUCAGUCCCACAUGCAUGCAUGGUUCUAUGUGAAGGGUUCGCUGUGGUACAGAACUCAUGAAUGAUUUUGCUUGAAGGGUUUCUUGCAAAGACUAUGCUCUGCUCUGUCUGAUUUUUUUUUUUUUUUUUUUUUUUCUCCCUCUUUGUCAAUUCUUCAUACAGAGCCAUUUCAUUAGCAGGAUCCAAAGAGUAUGUCGUUCCUCAUACUUGAGAGGAACUAAGAUUACUUUCUAUCUGAGUAUUUAUGUUAUUUCUUUUGUGGUUAAGGUUUCAUGAGAAUAAUUUCAACAGAAAGAUAUGGACAUUAUUUCUUUUGUAUAUAUCUUAUCUCAUUUUCUGUGUGUUUUUUUGUUUCAGUCAAGAAUUUUAGCCUUAGUUUUUUAGCUUUAUAACUUGUGUUUUAUGUGGAAGAUAUGGAUGAUGUGUUGCAAGAAUUAAAUCUUCUUGCAGCUUGUUCUUCGUAAACAUACAAUAUCUAGAAAUUGUUUUGGAAUGGGUGGAAUAUGGGAUUCCAUUGAGUCUAUGCCCCACAAUUGAGAGUUUUUGUAUGUAUAGUUGUGAAGAAUCUUAUUUGUGAUAGUACGGGUUUACGGGCAUCUUGUUUUAUGGAAGCAUCGACUCAGGGUUUAUGCUAUAAAUUCAGUUGUUGAUUCUUGUUAAUUUGUUCUUUAAUUUUGUAAUUAUCUCUGAGUUCUUCCCUUUUUGAUUGAUCUCUGGGUGAUAUGUCUUGUAUUCUUCCUAUUAUAUACAAUUUUAUUUUCUAUGCUAAAACAUAGUGUUGAUGUGAAUCCUUUUAUCUAUACUUUCCUAUUGUAUGCUAAAGCUGCAGCUUAGUUUUUGUUUGCAGUUCCAUGGUUGAACAAAAACAUGAGCAAUAUUUAGAGCACUUUCCUGGAUUUGUUUUGCUUCUUAUUCUUUGCUCUCUGUAAUAUUAUGACUAGGAGUAGGAUAUAAGAAAGAAAUUUAUAGAGUUGGUGCCAGUCAUAUCUGUGUUCUUUGUGCAGUUAAUAAUGUUUCUACUGUUAUUUUUACCUAUCCAUAUGAUUACUCAAUCUUCAUUUAUUUGUUUAUGACGACUACCAUAUGAUUGCAACAAUGUUGUAUUGCUGUGUAUUUGGCAGGAUUCUUAAUUUUUCUGAUGAACAUUGAUGAGCUUGAGGACAACAUUACUGUUUGGUUUUAAGUAUAGUUAUUGCUACAUCAUUUGCCCACUCUAUCUGGAGGAGGUGUUGGCUGUUUUCUAAGUUAUGUUUGCUGUUUUGAUAGCUGGACUCCUGUGUGGAGAUCGAGAUUAUCUAUAUACAAUUGAUGUUCUAGUUUGAAAGCCCUCCUCUUACACAUCAUUGAUGAUUUUAGACUGUCCUUGAAGAGUGGCUGAAAAAUUCGUUAUGAAUCUUCUCUUUCCAUGUCAAUUUCCUUGUAGGAGAGGCCUUGGAGUUAGUUUAGGUGGCUUAACGAAUUAUAAAGUCAGCCCGUUGGAUGUGAACCAAGAAUACUCUCUUUUUCAUUCUUCUCUUUUGAUUUCUUGGAAGUAAUUAAGCUAUUAGCUAUACUUUAUGACAUUAAUACGGUCCAAAAUUAAUGAAUUUUCUGAUUUGUUGGGUUCUAUGUGAAGACUUCGCCGUAGUACAUAAUUCAUGAAUGGUUGUGCUUCGAAGGGUUUCUUGCAAAGACUAUGCUGUGCUCUGUGCUUUCUUUCUUUCAUGAGGUAAUUCUGCGUAUUUUGGGCUUAGUGCAUUAUCGUUGCACACCAGUUCCAAAGAGGAGGGUUGUGCUAAGUGUAGUAUAGCUUGACUGCCCGCAUUUAACUUGUCUAUAUGACUAAAUCAGUUAUGUUUUCUAACAUACUCCUGCAAUGUGAAGGAACUUGUUUUUCCAUGUUGGAGAGGAGUGGGUGAGGCAAAGAAUAAUGAUUUAUUUCCUUAGGAGGUUGAAAUCUUGUAAGAAGCUUCUUAUCAUUUUUCUGUUUCUUUUUUUUCUUUGUGGAGUUGCUGUCAGAUUGUUUCCAUUGUUUGCUUGCAUCUAGUUUAUUUACAUGUUUACAUAAAGACGCUUAAGUAAAGCUCCUGCAUGGAUGGUGUGUGAAAAUUUUGAGAUUAAUUCUGCAUGGUUAAACAUAGAGAAAAUAUUUGAUACUUCUCUGCAUUUUCCCCCUACCCUAGACACAAUGAAGAAACUUUGAAUUAGACCGCCGGUAGUUGUGUGGGGCCACUUGCUAUUCAAUGACCCCAACUCCUAGUAUGGGGUUGGUAUUUUUAGUAUUGUUGACCAAAUUCCAUAAUUUUAAUGUUAUACCUAGGCAGAGAAUACUUGGCAACAUUUGGAACUCAGAAUGAGAAUCGACCUCAGUCUUUAGUCUUUUGUCAACUUUUCUUUCUUUCCUUUCACACCCCAUUCCCUUUUUUUUUUUUUUUUUUUGAUCUGUCAUCCCUAUAUUUGUCUGUAGCUCUUCUCUCUCUGAUAGGGCACUCUGGAAUUUCAGUUGUCAGCUUUGGCAUAUCAACUCUCCAUUUUUUGAUUCAUGAGUUUUUGCAAAAUACGAGGAUAAGAAAAACACCAAUUAAGAGUUUUUGAUUCAUGAGUUAUUAUCGUGAUAGAUGCCUGUAACUCACUAGAGGCCCCGGGAAACAAAAUGGAGAUUUUUAUGAACGUGAUAUCCAGCUAAAAGUAGUAGUAAAAUGAUUGAAUAGAUGUGUAUGAACCACCCUGGAGACAGUUUCGGGGAUGAACAGAUGGAGCAGUGGAUUUCUUCCACCCCCAAUUGAUCCAGCAUUGGGUGUUCUAUAUAUAUAUCUAUUGUAUAUGGAAUUCGCUGUUAUGAUGUCUGUUAACAUGUUUUUUUUUUUUGUUUUUUUUUUUUGCCCCUUUUUUUGGUCGGGAUAUCACGGUUUCUUUGUUUUAACAGUACAAAGGCUGAACUCUUUGGAGUGCCUGUUGUCGAGCCGCCAGGCAUGAACCAUCAUAUAUUUAUCUUUCUCAAUAAUGUGACUAUUUACUAGCCUUUUCUACAAGCCCUAACCAUCCUCUUCCCACCCCCUUCCCAAAUCCUAACCCUAACUCUAAACAACACUCCAAAUCCCCCACCACAACCUCUGUAUAUUGGUCAAUCGUUAGUGUCAGUGUUCCCGUUCUCUAUAUAGACACAUAUACCACAGGAAUCUGAAUAUGAAUAUGUGUGUUCAGUCCCUUAUUUCUGUACCAAUUAUAAAUUCUCCACUGUUUUGCUUUGAUUACUGUAAGAUUCUUCUGUUGAUUUCUUGAAUUUAUCUAAUAUUUUCUUAGAAUUAUUAGUGGCAAUAUAUCAUAUUUAUAUGGUUAGUUUUUCAAACAUGUAUGCAUGUAUAUAAAAUGUAAGUGAAUUUGAUAUUCAAUUUUUCCAUUUUAGGUUGGUGAGAUUAUAAUCAGAUAUGAGAAACGGUUUCUCAUUGAAAGUGCAAAGUAGAGCAUUUUGGUAGCUUGCAAGGUCAUCACCUUGAGAUCACGGGUUCAAAUCCUGUCUCCGCUACAUUACAGUUUCGAGUAUUGAUAAUUAAUUAUUCUUGCCUUUCAAGUAAAGAAGUGUCUUCUUUUCCUUUUUGCUUAUCAUUUCGGUUUUCAUUUUGAUUGUAAUAAUUUCAUGCAACAAUGUCGUGUAUCUGAAUCUGGCAGGAUUCUAAAUUUUUCUGAUGAACAUUGUUGAGCUUGGGGACAACAUUACUAUUUGGUUUUAAGUACAGUUAUUGCUACAUCAUUUGCCCACUCUAUCUGGAGGAGGUGUUGGCAGUUUUCUAAGUUAUGUUUGCUGUUUUGAUAGCUGGACUCCUGCAUUGAAAGGUAUUGGGAUUAUAUAUAUACAAUUGAUGUUCCAUUUUGAAUGCCCUCCUCUUACACAUCAUUGAUAAUUUUAGACUGCCCUGGAAGAGUGGCUGAAAAAAUCAUUAUGAAUCUUCUCUCUUUCCAUGUCUAGUUUCCUUGUAGGAGAGACCUUGGAGAUAGUUUCGGUGGCUUAACGAAUUACGAAGUCUCAACUCUUUAGAGUGCCCGUUGUCCAGCCAGCUGGAUGUGAACCAUGAAUACUUUCUUUUUCAUUCUUCUCUUUUGACUUCUUGGUAGUAAUUAAGCUAUUAACUAUAGUUUAUAACAUUAAUACGGUCCAAAAUUAAUCAAUUUUCUGCUUUGUAGGGUUC